CCUACGGGAGGCAGCAGUGAGGAAUAUUGGUCAAUGGACGAGAGUCUGAACCAGCCAAGUAGCGUGAAGGAUGACUGUCCUAUGGGUUGUAAACUUCUUUUAUAUGGGAAUAAAAUGUUCCACGUGUGGGAUUUUGUAUGUACCAUAUGAAUAAGCAUCGGCUAACUCCGUGCCAGCAGCCGCGGUAAUACGGAGGAUCUGAGCGUUAUCCGGAUUUAUUGGGUUUAAAGGGAGCGUAGGUGGAUUGUUAAGUCAGUUGUGAAAGUUUGCGGCUUAACCUUAAAAUUGCAGUUGAAACUGGCAGUCUUGAGUACAGUAGAGGUGGGCGGAAUUCGUGGUGUAGCGGUGAAAUGCUUAGAUAUCACGAAGAACUCCGAUUGCGAAGGCAGCUCACUGGACUGCAACUGACACUGAGGCUCGAAAGUGUGGGUAUCGAACAGGAUUAGAUACCCGGGUAGUC
rnacentral:rRNA from 1 species